rnacentral:rRNA from 1 species
GCGAAUCUGGCGGCGUUCUUAGGAGAUGCAGGCGAACGUGUUUUUGGGGUUUUCUUGCGGGUAUGGAAUGAAUGAGGUGUUGGAGGGGUUGAUAACCGGUGAGAACCUACUUAAACAUGGGUGAGAGUUGGAGCGACGGUAAAGCGCAUGGGACCUUGGAAUGCGGUUUAGGGGUCAAAGUUUUUCGGUGUAAGAAGGGUCGCGUCUGAUAGGUAGGUGGAGGGUAGAGGUUACCGGGCGACGGUGGGAGCCGGGCUGAGAGGUGACGGCACAUUGGAGUGAGAACGUCCAAA